rnacentral:rRNA from 1 species
UACGGGGGGGGCAAGCGUUGUCCGGAAUUACUGGGCGUAAAGGGCUCGUAGGCGGCCAUCUAAGUCGGACGUGAAAUCCCCAAGCUUAACUUGGGAACUGCGUCGGAUACUGGAUGGCUUGAGUUCGGGAGAGGGAUGCAGAAUUCCAGGUGUAGCGGUGAAAUGCGUAGAUAUCUGGAGGAACACCGGUGGCGAAGGCGGCAUCCUGGACCGACACUGACGCUGAGGCGCGAAAGCUAGGGUAGCAAACGGG